GUUGUUUUUAGGACAGUUAUUAUACAAGGAAACUCCAAAAAGUCCAUGAAGAAUUUGCAUUAUCUUUUAACUACAUUUUUUCAUGGACUUUUUGAACCUAUAUUUGUAUAGAUCUUUUCUUUGUCUUUAAAGCUUUCUUCCGCUGCCUAUGUUUUCUCUGUUUCUUCUAAAUUCUUUUUUUCUGUUUGUUUUCCACAUUGCGGGUUUUGUUCAUAUGCCUGGUGAUAUUGCUGGGUCAGGGAAGAUGAAUUAUAAGAAUUCCAUUGGUCAUGCCAGAAAGAGCAAGGAGGAUAUGGAGAUGCAGUGGAGCAUAAUGUGAUAUAGCAAAUUCAUGGAUCCUAAGUCAUGUUGCUUGCUACCAAGGAACCUGGGUAUUUGAAUUCAGACUUCAACACUACAGAGGAAGAGCUCACAAGCCUAAAAAAUUCUGCUCAUCCCUCAAGGCCAACGUUGGAUGCCUCCUAUCUGAUAUUUCUUUGUGAGAAAGUUUUCUCGGGAUUUCAACUGUUAGAAGCCACAGUAAGCAGAGAGUGACGAAUAGAAAGUGUGGGCAACUUAAUGAAAAAGAGCCUGAACUUCACCCACAACCUUAUCAUUACAGUAAGUACAGCACCCUGUGUGAUGAUGCACCAGGGACUUGAGUAAUUGACUGUGAUAAUUUUUUCAUAUAUAAAUACUUUUGAGAUCAUUGGUCAAGCAUUUUUCCAUUUCCCUCAUUGGUGAUUGGUAAGUCAUUAUUCCUUUCAGGUCCCACAUUCUUUUUAAAGAUUUAUUUAUUUGAAAUGCAGGGUUACAGAGGAGAAGAAGGAGGGAGAGAGGGGGAGAGAGCAGGAAGGGAGAGAGGGAUAGAGAGAGAGGGAGAUCGUCCAUUUGCUGGUUCAUUCCCCAAAUGGCUUCAAUGGCUGGGGCUGGGCAAGGCUGAAACCAGGAGCCUGGAACUCUAUCCAGGUCUCCCACAUGGAUGGCAAGGAUCCAACAACUUGGGCCAUCUUCCUCUGAUUUCCCAGGUGUAUUGGUAGGGAGCUGGAUUGGAAUUGGAGCGCCUGUGGGGUUCGAAUCACCUCUCAUGUAGAAUGCCAGUAUUGCAGGUGAUGGCUUAACCCACUGCACUACAGUGUCAGCCCUCGUGAUAAGGUUAACAAAACCAGCUCUUGUGCCUAGAUUCUGAUUUUAAUUUACACUUGUUUUUUCAAAGCUAGAUUUUCUGAAUAAAAUGUAGCUACAAAGCUGUUAUAUACAGUGGAAAUUAUGUUGAGAAUAUUUAACACUUUUGGAGUCAAGAUCAUUUUGAAUUUGAAAUGAAAGACAGCCAUAUAUUCCACCUUAUAUGGCUCUUUGCAGAGGUUUCUGAUAUUCAAUGAAGUCACUGAAAAAUCCACAUUAGCGGAAUAAAAAAUCAUGCCAAUUUGUUCUAUUUCAGAUACAUUUUAAUAUAGUACCAUAAGCAUCAAUAUUGGAAUUUUUACUUCUCCAACCUGGUUAUACAAUAUUAGAUAUCAUCAUUUUUACUUUCUGUUUAAAUAAAAAGUCAAAUGCAUUUGCAGAAUAUUCAAAAAAGCUUGUGGAAAAUGUGUGUUGUCAAACAACUAUGCAUGAAUUUCAAAAUUAUUUUGAACCAAAAUCAACUUAUCUUUAAAUUCCAUUUUCUCAUGAACUUUUUGAAGUCCUCUCAUAUUUGAAAAUCAUUUCACUUGGCUUUUCUAGGCAAAAACAUAUUCUAUAUAUUCUGCACACCUCAUCCUAGAGUUAUACCAAAUAAUAAGUAAAGCAUGUUAUCGAAUGAUCUUUCUGUCCUAGUACAGUCAACUUCUUAGGAAUUUCUUGUCAUUUCACCUGAAAGCUUAGCAUUUGGAAAAAUACAAGUCCACAAAGGAUUUUCAAUAUUAGUUUUUAUUGGCAUCUCUGUAUUUCUAGUUUAAUUUUAAAGAAACCAGGGCAAUGGAAAACUAAGAACCAAUAUCUUUCUGAUGUGUGAUUACAAAAAGGUCUAGCAUUGGACUCAGGAGGUAAGUAAAUGCAAUACUUUAUAUUAUUCUGUCAAUACUGACUGUUAGGAAAUUGUUACUUUCAAUGAGGGCUGGUGUCCCGUGAAGCAGCUUUAGUAAUAAAACUCUACAACCCUGUUGACUAAACACUUUUAUUUUACUUUUUAUUUAAUAUUCUUUUCCUUUCUCAAUUUCACGUUGUCCUUUCUUCUUUUGCCCAUAUGCACUUGUCCUUCAAAUUUUUUUUUGUUUGUUUGUUUGUUUUCCCAGGGACUAUGUUUUCUCUGAGAUACACUUUUUUUUUUUACUCUAACCCCUUUGAAAACAUUUCCUGAUUCUCCAUGUAUUCCUGAUCUGUCUCAAAAACUGAAUAACUGAAUUGAUAAAUUUUUCAGAGUGUAAAAUCUAAGAGAAAUGAAGGGAAAUAGGAAGAAAAGAACAAAUUGGAGCCUCCAUUUUAGAUCCUUGUGCAAAUAGCAAGAUAUAAUUAACUGUAUAGUAAUAUAGUCAAAUUCUCCUAAUUUCCAUGCCUAUCACAUUUAUUUCUAUUUAACCAGAAAAGUUUAAAUGGGAGAACUAAAACUUAUAUUCAUAGGUACUUAAAAUAUCAUGGUUUUAAUCCAGCCUUCUAAAAAGUAUCAUGGAUCUCUGACCCGUGUCUUUCCCACAAAUCUUUUUUUGUGUGUGUGUGAAUUCCACUUCCUGAAGAGUUUUAUUAUACUUAUGAUUAGGCCUGAUUUGCCAUCUUUUCUGCCCCAUGGCUCUAAGAUAAUCUCUUCAUAUGAUACUAUGGAGAUCAUCGGACUUUCACAGUUAGCUUUUUAAUUAUUGAUUUACCCAUUUUUGUGUUGCAUUGAUUUUUAAUUUCUUUAGAAAAUUAUUCCUAUUUGAAAGGCAGAAAGAGAAACAGAUCUUCUAUUUGCUGGCUCACUCCCCAAAUGCCCACAAGAAUUGGGACUGGGCCAGGUCAAAGCCAAGAGCCCCAAACUCCAGCUGAGCUUCUCAUGUAGGUGGCAGAGACACAAAUACUUGAGUCAUCACCUGCUGCCACCCAGGGUGCUCAUUAGUGGGAAAUUGGAUAAAAAGCACUGUAGCUAGGACUUGAACUAGGCAUUCUGGAUAUGGGAUGCAGGUGUACCAAGUGGCAACUUAGCCAUUCCACUGAACACCUGUCCUGGUGUUGCAUGGCCUCUACCAUUGCAAAGCCCCCAAUAACAGCCACAUAAUCCUUCAAUCCUUAAAAUAAGUAUUCUCUCUAUAAAUCUCAGAUGCUUGAGAUAUUGUCCCCACUAUCUUAUUCUUCUCCACUAAUAUUCCACAUGAGUUUACCACUGAUGAAAGUUUUAACAAUUAUACCACCACAACAUAGUCCCUGGGACUUUCCAUUAUUACUACCAGCAUUGGGGUAUUUACUGUCAGACAACAUGCAGGUGAUCCAGCUCUAAAAUCUCUCUUUAGAAUCUACUAUCUAGCAUCACUUACUUUAUGAACUGUCACUGGUUAGAUUUCCAAAGAAACAAACUCUGAGACUCUGGGAUUUGCACACAAAUUUAUUGGGGAACACUCUUAUAAAAAAUGCCUAUAGGAUAACAAGGAAAAUCAGACUGGGAAGAAGGAGAGAUUAAAUUAUGAUACAGGACCAACAGCUUCAAACAAUCCAUCAGAAAAGCUCUGAAGUUGGGAUAGUCUUUUAGAGAUGCUUCACCUCAAGGUAAGAAAGCCAUAUCUGUACACCGGCAUUAACCACUCGUGAAAUGCACCCUUGAGGAAUUCAGUGCCCUCUGGCCAAAGGUAAGUCCUAGAGGCCACAGCUGUGACCUGUCAGUAGCUAACAAUCCAGGCAAGUAGUACAAUAAUUGAUUCUUUCCUGAGAGGAUAUCUGGGUGACAUCAUGCAAUAUCUACUAUAUCUAUAAUAUACAAAGAGACUUAUAAGUAAAUUAGCAAAGAUAGUUUUCAGUGAAAAUUCAAUUCACAGAAAAGGACAUACAUAUGGGAAAAUAUGAAAAGAUGCUCAUCUUCAUUGGAAGUUAGGAAAGUGCAAAUAGAAACAACAAGAUAUUUUGUUCAUUUGUCAGAUAUAUAUAUUUUAAAAUACUGAUAACAGUGGUGAUGAGAAAACACAGAAGGAGAUGCUUCAUGUGUUGCUAAUGGGAAUGUGUCUAGGAACAUAACUGAACAAAUUGGACAAUGUUUAAUAGAACUAAAAUGCAAAAUAACAUGCCUGUUUGCCCCCAAUGAAUUUAUAGAUUUAAUGUACUCCCCCCAAAAAAAGCUUGUAAAAAUUGACUAGCUGAUCCUAAACUGCAUAUAGAAAUGGAAAUGGUCAAAAAUUACUGAGGCUAUUUUGAAGAAUAAAAACAAUUGGAAAGCUUUUCUUAUCAGUAUGAGUACUUAUUAUAAAGACACAGGAAUUAAGAUUGGAUGGUAUUGGUAUAAUGAUAAAUUAUUAGAUAAAUGGAAUAGAACAAAAAGUCCAGAAACUGAUCAUCCAGAUAACCACAUACAUGGUCACCCAAUUUACAACAAAGGUGCCAGCCACUGAAAUGCAGGGAAAAUGGGUGGGCAUCUCAAUAAAUAAUGCUUACCCAAUUAAAUAAAUUUUCCUAUGAAAAAAUAAAUCUUGACCCCAAGUUUGCCUGGUAUUAAAAAAUAAACUCCCUGAAUGUGAAAGACAAACCAAUAAAGUUUCUGAAAUAUCAUUGUCCACAAGAAUUUUCUGAGAUGAGCUGGAAGUUCCCUCCCUCUGUGCCAUAUGUGCUUACUGACCACUUGGAAUUUGGCUAAGGUGACUAAGAAACUAACUUUUAAUUUAACUUUGGUUACUUUAAAUAACCACAUGUGGCUACCAUAGUGGAUACCACAAUUCAAAAAGAUAACUCAAAAGAAUACCUGUGAUGAUUAUUCAGUGUUUCAACUUCCCAGAAUUCCCUUUCUAGUAUGUUUCUGGGGUUGCAAGCUAUGAGGAAGAUGCUUAGAAGAGAUAAAGAAUAAAGGGAAGAUAGCAGCCAUUCUGUAGCACACAUAGGCCUUCUUCGAGUUAUUCAAUCAAACAUUAAACUGGGUGCUGUUGUAAAGGUAUUUUGCAGAUGAGAUUCAAGCCCAUAAUCAGUUGACUUUAAGUUAAUCAAAAGGAACAUCACUUCUGUGUGCCUGAUUUAAUAAGAUGAGAGUUUCAAAUGAAGAUAAAUGUCAAAAAUGAGGCAUAUAAUGUGUAGCUUCCUCUCUUUUUAAAAAGAUAUUAUGCUGAAUAUUGCUUUUUAAAAGUUUUAUUUAGUAAAUAUAAUUUUCCAAAGUACAGUUUAUGGAUUACAAUGGCUUUUUCCCCCAAAAAACUUCCCUCCCACACACACCCCUCCCAUCUCCCACUCCCUCUCCCAUUCCAUUCACAUCAAGAUUCAUUAUCUUUAUAUAGAGUAGAUCAAUUUAGUAUAUAUUAAGUAAAGAUUUCAUCAGUUUAACCCCACAAAGAAUACAAAGUGCCAAAUACUGUUUGAGCACUAGUCAUAUCAUUAAUUCACAUUGAACUACACAUUAAGGACAGAGAUCCUACAUGGAGAGUAAGUGCACAGUGACUCCUGUUGUUGACUUAACAAAUUGACACUCUUGUUUAAGGCGUCAGCAAUCUCCCUAGGCUCUAGUCAUGAGUUGCCAAGGCCAUGGAAGCCCCCUGAGCUCUCCGACUUUGAUCUUAUUUCAAUAAGGUCAUAGUCAAAGUGGAAGUUCUCUCCUCCCUUCAGAGAAAUGUACCUCCUUUGAUGGCCCAUUCUUUCUACUGGGAUCUCACUUGCAGAGACCUUUCAUUUAGGUGUUUUUUGUUCUUGUUUUUUUGUUUUUGUUUUUGUUUUGCCAGAGUGUCUUGGCUUUCCAUGCCUAAAAUACUCUUAUGGGCUCUUCAGCCAGAUCCGAGUGCCUUAAGGGCUGAUUCUGAGGCCAGAAUGCUGUUUAGGACAUCUGCCAUUCUACGAGUCUGCUGUGUAUCCCACUUCCCAUGUUGGAUCGUUCUCUUCCUUUUUUAUUCUAUCAUUUAGUAUUAGCAGACACUAGUCUUGUUUAUGUGAUCCCUUUGGCUCUUAGACCUAUCAGUGUGAUCAAUUGUGAAUUGAAAUUGAUCACUUGGACUAGUGA